AGGCCCAGACAGCCAGGAGGUUGGCUUAGAAGCAGCCAUCCUUUAAAGAAAGCGUAAUAGCUCACUGGUCGAGUCGGUCUGCGCGGAAGAUGUAACGGGGCUAAACUAUGCACCGAAGCUGCGGAUUCAGAAUUUAUUCUGAGUGGUAGGGGAGCGUUCUGUAAGCGGUUGAAGGUGUACCGGGAGGUAUGCUGGACGUAUCAGAAGUGCGAAUGCUGACAUGAGUAACGAUAAUGCGGGUGAAAAACCCGCACGCCGGAAGACCAAGGGUUCCUAUCCCAUGUUAAUCAGGGUAGGGUAAGUCGACCCCUAAGGCGAGGCCGAAAGGCGUAGUCGAUGGGAAACGGAUUAAUAUUUCCGUACUUGGUAUAAUUGCGAUGGGGGGACGGAGCAGGCUAAGCAAGCAUGGCGAUGGUAGUCCAUGUGAAAGUGUGUAGGCUAGUGACUUAGGUAAAUCCGGGUUGCUGUUAGGCUGAGACACGAGACGAGUCACCAAGGUGAUGAAGUUGCUGAUGCCAUACUUCCAGGAAAAGCCUCUAAGCUUCAGAUUAUACCGAAUCGUACCCCAAACCGACACAGGUGGUCAGGUAGAGAAUACUAAGGCGCUUGAGAGAACUCGGG
rnacentral:rRNA from 1 species